UACGAAGGGGGCUAGCGUUGCUCGGAAUCACUGGGCGUAAAGCGCACGUAGGCGGAUCUUUAAGUCAGGGGUGAAAUCCCAAGGCUCAACCUUGGAACUGCCCUUGAUACUGGGGAUCUCGAGUCCGGAAGAGGUUGGUGGAACUCCGAGUGUAGAGGUGAAAUUCGUAGAUAUUCGCAAGAACACCAGUGGCGAAGGCGGCUCACUGGCCCGGUACUGACGCUGAGGUGCGAAAGCGUGGGGAGCAAACAGG
rnacentral:rRNA from 1 species